ACCAUGAAACUCUCUUCCCGAGCAUGCUCAAAUGAGCAGCGAUUCUCUUUCAAACGACCAUCAGCGUGAAACGCGUUUAAGGAAGCUGCGCUUUAAACACCUUCCCGUUUCCUGUAGCUACCUCUCGGCUCACUCGCCUAAACCUCUCUCGGACUCAAUCGGGCGCAAAAAAGAACAUAUCAGGUUUUAUGGAAACAUCCUAAGUGCAUUAAGGAAUCCUAUACCCUUCUAUAAACGACAUUUUGAACUCGACCACUCGCCCUUUUUCGACUCAUCUUCGAGCGUUUGACUGGCAUUUCUUUAGUUUCAUCUCGUGGUGGUUGUUUUAUUUUUCGGCGAGGACGGGACUCUGUUUAGGAUUCUUGCGCCGAUGUCGGCGCCGUCUCUUCCUCUCCAACCCCCUUAUCUUCUCUUCUGCAUCCGAGGGUUGUUCCAUCUCCACAGGGGUUAGGCACAUAACGUUCAAGGCCGCACUGAUUGGUUCCAAUGACGUGAACGGUAAAAUGGAUACCCAUUGAGGAGGGGCUGUAUUCCAGCGAUUUCAAUUAAAUCUGGAGAGAGUAAAUCGGCAGACGGAUUCAGUCGGGACGCGAGUCUGGAAAAAAGCUGAUCCCGCGAACUAUCUCUUUCAGUGCCCUUCGCGUAUUGACAUAGCUAACAAGAUACACCAAUGCACGAAGAGGUGGGUUACUAUUUGCACGGGAUAGAACACGUGGUUGAGGCCGUACCUGACUUUAGAUUCCCUAUGUGUUUUUAGCAGAUUGAUAUAUCCCGCGAUAAAAUUCCAUCGUGAUAACCGCUCGCUCGGAACCAUACAGAUAAUGACCUCGACGACGAUUGUUUGGAUUGAAGUGUAGCCGUGCAUGUCUUCGAAAGAUUCGCCACUCUCUCUCUGCACUCAACGAACACCGAUAUCCGAAAGUAUUUUGCCUUGUUACUUAAUGCUACUCCGCUACGCGUCUUUUGCUAGCAACAUUGUUUCGAUACUGGCAGUUUUUUGCGGAUUGUAUCAUUUUGGAUAGUUGUGUCGAAAAUUCAAAAUAAGUUAAUUUCAGACACGUGAUAAUAAAAAUUUACAGGGAGGGCUUGCUUAUCGUCCAUUUUGUCAGAAAGUCGCACAAAAUACAUCUCACUUAGAGUCCAAUAAUUAAGACAUCCUAUUAGAUUUCGGAUCUUUCGAAAGAUUGAGGUUUAAUUUCUUCAUACGGUAUUUAAUGGUUUAUAUUCCUGUAAUCAUUUUGAAAAAAAUGUAAAUUCUGACUUUUGUAUUGCGAGAAAUUAAACAUUGAAGCUUUUUUGUUGCAUUUUGUGGAUAUUCGCGUGACGUUCUAUUCGGGAAUUACAGUGACACGUGACUAGGAACUAUAUUUAGCACACUUUUUCGACUUUUCUACGAUGUUGUUCACGACCAGGGUUGACUAGGCCUGCUGCAAAAUCAGGAGAAGAUAUGAACUUCGUAUUUUUUUCGAUUAGAUUCGAAAUAAACGCAAUACAGACUUAAUUUUUCAACAAAGUGAAUAUUUUCUUGAGGAACGUAUAACUUCUGGAAGAAGAUCAAUUCAACAUGUAUAUCAGAACUCGAAUCUGUAAUCCACUAAUCACGUUCAUCCCCAUCCUGCUGCUAGCCGUCAAGAGCUCAUGCGGAAAUGGCGCUGGAUGUGGUCCUUAAUCAUCCCGUCUAAGCAAGGAUACCGAUUCCGACGCCAACAGAUUUCGAAGAAGGUACCCAUUCAUCUCCCCUGGGUCGAGUGCAUCUUUAUCUCUUGCUGAGGGAAAUAAGCGUCGUGGCUGGGACUUGAACCGACGAUCCUCUGUUUGCUGGUUCAGAUUUCGAACCACUGAACCAUGACACUUUCAUAAAGUAACGAUCUAUAAAUUAACACAUAAGGUACACUUGCGUUCAUAAAAAAAUCACGAGAUGAUUGUUGGCUCUUGGCCAGUAUCACUUCCUUUUAUAUAAUCAUUAAUAAUGCACUGUUGUAACAUUUAGUGAGAAGCAGGUGAAAUGUAUAUACAUAGACUUUCAGGAAGCACCUUGAACACAUUGAUGAAAUAGGUUUAAUCAGAAAAACACAAAUGGAACAAUGUGAAACUCUUUCCUUCAAUAUCACUUCCUUCACUUUCAGAAAAACUUUAUUAUAAAAAGGGACGAUUAUAGCCAGCCCUCGAGUUUGUAGCUCAGACCUACCCCCUCAUAAAGUUAAACCUUCAACAUUUGGAAUCUCCGGCGUCCAUAUUAUCCUAUAAUUUACCAUUUUAAGUCGAUAUAUCUUAAUCACCGUUGAAUUAAUCAACUCUGCCCAAAUAUCAACAUGCUUAAAUCAAUCAGUUGAAUGUUUGAAGUUCAAAGGCCAACUCUAAAACCGAUUUAUUUUGGGUUGUUUUAUUGAGAUACUAGAUAGUUGGUUUGUACCCCGUGACAGAAGCACGGUUGGGAUGAUGUAUAGGGCUUGUGGAAGGUAAAGGCCAAGCUAACAUUUCCCAAUCGUGCACCGAAUCUUGAGUGAAUUAAAUCAAUUUGGUAAUUCAGUCAGCUGCUUAUUUCCGAGGAAACAAUAUUUUAUCCGUCUCUAAAUUGUCUGAACUAUUUCGGGAAUUCUGUGCCAUGACGAGAUCUGAGCGCAUUUGCAUACCUAAAAUUAGAAGAUUGUUCUCUCGCAACUUUUAUUUAGACGAAGGGGCUCAUGCAAUUGUAAUUUCAAUCUAAUCAGCUCAUUUUCGAUGCCCAUUUACGUGAUUUACUGAUUUUUUUAGUUCAGGUUCUCUUUGUCUGUAAUAUUGCAAUACAAAAAGGGUCCAAUUUCUCUCUGAAAUUAAGAGGGGUAAACAUCCAUGCCGUUAAUGAAUACGUGUAUUAUCAAAAUGUUGAAGCCACAAAACAACCGACGUUUUGCGUACUUUUGAAAUUAUUCGUGAUUGUAUU
rnacentral:lncRNA from 1 species